UCUUCCUCUCACACUAAAAAAAAAAAAAGAGAAGAAAAAAGAAAAAAAAAUGGUCUCCCCUCGCCAUUUUCUCUCUCUACUCAUCUUAUCAUCAAUACUCCCAGUGAGCUGGGGAGAAGCCUCAAUCUACGAAGCUCUGCAGCUCCACGGCCUCCCCAUGGGUCUUCUCCCCAAAGGGAUCACUAAUUUCAGCCUCGAAGCUUCCGGAAAGUUCGAGGCCCAUCUGGACCACGCCUGCAACGCCAAGUUCGAGAACGAGCUCCACUACGACAUCAUCAUCUCAGGCGCGCUCGGCUACGGCCGUAUCGACCAGGUGUCGGGGAUCUCGGCGCAGGAUUUGUUCCUUUGGUUCCCCGUCAUCGGAAUCCGCGUCGACGUUCCCAGCUCCGGUUUGAUCUACUUCGACGUCGGUGUCGUGUCCAAGCAGUUCUCUCUCUCGUCCUUCGACACUCCUAGGGAUUGUUUAGCCGUUUCUGAGGGAGAUCCCAUUUGGGAAGCUGCAAGUAUACGAGCUUGAUCACUGGAAUGCUCCUAGGAUGACGUGGUAGAUCUUUCACACGAGCACAGUGAUGUGCAUAUAGCUCAAUCACGUUGAAUACCUACGUUCACAGAUGUACAGAGAGUCGAGAGAAGUUGUUGCCUUGGAUCCUCCCCCGGUUGCACGAUCAGCAUUGCUUCCAUUGGUGGCGAAGAUGCGGAGAUGAGGAGGCGAGUGGCUCGUGGUUAGGAUUCAGCCAAAUGAUGCAGUUUUUUCUUCAUGAAGAAGUUAUUGGUUGGAGACAAAUAUAGGACCUUUUAGAUGCAAAACACUUCAAGUUUAGGAGGGAGAGAGAGAGUAUAGGCCAAUGGGAGAGGGGUGCUCAAUAUGACGUCUUUCUUGAAAAAACCUUCUAGCACUAGAAUAUGCAUGCUAUGUUAAGGUGUCCCUACAUUUAGGGCAAUGUAGAUGUCAACAAUCACUGCUCUGCUCCUCUUUAGUAGCAGAUUAUUUGCAGGAAUUCCACUCCUUUUCUCGAGCAGUAAUCCGCUUGAAUCAAGUAAUUUAGGGCAUGAGCGAGAAAUGGAUGACUCGUUUCUGGUUGAUCUUGAUAAUGAAGAUGAACUUCUGGAAGCAGAUAAUGACGUUGUUGAGCACAUGAAAGAAGAUGUAUAUGGUGAUUUAGCUGAUAUAAAGCACUUAACUAUGAUGAUCUGAUCU